rnacentral:lncRNA from 1 species
CGGAGAUUCAGAUAACCAAAUUCGCUAUCCUUUUACUUAUUCUCUGCAAACCUAACGACGUUAAAGUUUGAUUUUACAAUCACAUUUUUUUCUCUAUUUUUUUAAUUUUUUGCAGGACAUGCUCAUUUCUUUUGAUGGUGAUCUUACAUGUUCAAGAGGAGAAGAUCGAAUUUCAAGAUUUGUACGUACCUGUUGAUCUAAUUAAACCCUCAAAUUUCAUUGUCCUCGAAGAAACUAGAAAUGCAGAAUCUAGAAGAUUGUAUUUUGAUCUCGAUUCAUUAUUUUAACGUGUAUGUAGGGUAGACAAUCUCGACCUUUGCCAUGUUGGGUGCGCUCGCAUGGCAGGUCACCUAAUAAAGAAGAAUCACUUUUUUUGGGUUGGGAGAGGAGAUCGCAUGGGAAUUGGGAUGAUAUAUUAAUUUCCCCCCAUUUUGAUAGUCCCAGGAUCAUCCUCUCCAAGAUCGGGCUUUGUGUUCUGAUCUUUUCUCCAUGGAUUGUUAUUCUUUCAUUAUCCAUUAUCCUUCCUCCCAUGCAACUUCACUCACCGACAUAAUCGAUUAAAGAUAAUAACCUGAACUCUAACCCUAACCCAUAUCCUACAAACGAGAUAUACAUUGAAUUUAAACUAAUUACGAUCUAUGAGUAAUCCGAUCCCACAAAAUGAAACGAAUGAGUUGCUAAUCUUCAAUUGAUCACCAUUCAAAUCGUCAAUCAAGGUAUAGCGCUCAUAUGCUUUCCAUUUCGCUUCGUAUAUAUAUAUAUACAUUUCGCUUCAUAUAUAUACAUUUCGCUUCGUAUAUAUAUAUAUAGCUUCAUUUUUUAUAAUUCAAAAAAUAAUAUUGUGAGAUUUAUAUUUAAAGAUAAUUGUGUUACUCCAGAAGAAUAUUUAUUUAUUUAAUUAUUAGAAUUGUCUCUAGAUGAAUAAUUACUGUUUUUUUUGGGAGAAAUGGAGAUAUUGUAUAUCACACACACACAUAUAUAUAGGGUCAGAUUCAGAUGAGAUAAGGGUUCAUGAGAUAUUAUGUGAUCAUGACCCCUCAAGUAAAAAUUUCGAUUUACCGUUUGAUGAAAAUCCGAAGGCUGAUAUGACAAAAUCUCAUGGACUAUUGUCUCAUCGAUCUAAUUUUUAUCCCAUGCAUAUUUGAUGGAUGAUAUUGCUCGCGAUCGGGAAACAAAACUCUGGGGUGAUAAUAAAGAGGCCGCGGGUAUGUUGCAUUCGAAGGUGCAGAAGAAAAUAAAUACUAUGGACUUCUGACUUAGGUAUAUACUUAUCUCAAAACAAUGUGAUUGAAAAAUUGACAAAGGAAUGCAAAAUAGAACAUUUAAUUUAAAAUAUCUUAAUUAACAUUAUUUUUGUAGAAUGAAGAAGUUGGUAAUCGAUAAAGUUUGAUUAUUGCGAUGUUUGCAAGGCUACCCAUAGUUCGACUAUAUAAUUGAAGGCCGUUGGUAUUGAAAUCAACGAUCCCAUACAUUUCUUGUACUUGGAGCAAGAGAUUGUACAUUAAUCAAUCCCAAAUUAUUGAAACUCUAAAGUGGCGACUUUGCCUAACCCCAAGAGAUCGACGAUGAGUAAUGUAAAAUUAGCCACGGAUUUAAUCAAAGGGCUUUGAAAAUUGGUUCUGAACACAAGUCUUAUUUCUUGUUGUGAUGGCAAGAAAUAUAUAAGAAAAAUUAGGGUUUUCAAAAAUUAUUAUUUAUUUACUUUGAAAAAAAUCAUAUACUUGAUAAGUGCUUUUUAUAUUCUUUUUUUGUUUAUAAACAAAAAUUCUAACUUAUUUUCUUUGCAUCCAUUUUGUAUUGAAAAUCACUACAAAAAAUAAGAUACUGUGAAACAGAUUACUGACGAAUUAAAGAUGAUCGAUGGUAGAAAUCUCUUGUAUUCAGGACUAUCACCAAAAUACGAGUUCUAUCACUAAUAGACCGUCGACAAAAGAGACUCCAUGAUUCUCACCUAAAAAGCAGAUUUGAAUUUCGUGGUCAAAAUCCACCACUGAUGAUAUUUUUUCAACGAGUAGUAAAAAAAUUCCGAAAUUUUUAUACAUUAAAAAUUUAAUUUAUAAAUUAAUAAUAGAAGAUAAUUUAAUUAUGAGUAUUUUGAGUUCUGAAUAUAACUUUUUUAUAUAUAUGGUUAAUUUCUAACCAUUUUCAAAAUAUUGUAUCACUAUAAGAAAGAAAGUUAUUUAAAAUAAGGAUUGGUUUUUAGUGAGAAUGGUUAUAAAAUAAUGGGUGAGAAUGUAAAUCUCAUCCAUCCAUUCUUAUGGGUAUAUAUGUAUACUUUUAUAUAUUUGAAAGUAUGAGAGACCAACCUCCUGAGACCACGUAUUUAGUUACUGUAUAACUAGACUACAUAGCUAAUGAAAGAGAGUCAAUGAGUUUCUUACUCGUUCUUUUUAAUAAAUUUAAUUGCUUUCAAAAAAAAACUUUUAUAUAUUUUAUUAUUAUUUGAUUUUACCGUUGGAUUAGAUUUUGUCGGUCAAAUGAAUUCAUUCUCAAAUAGUGUUGAAAUAAGACUUUCUCAUGUGAACCUUGCCUUUUAAAAUAAUCCAACACCUAUAAAAAUGUCCCAUUCUAAAGAGACUUUAGUUGUUUUGCAAUCCCUGGACUGGGUUAAGUUGUUGAUCGAUCAGAUCUAGAGCAUUAACUAAUUAACUGAUAAUUCAGGGAUCUGACUAUCUGAUUUCUUGAUUUAUGAGCAAGGAUCUCACUAUUGGGAGCGACAUCGUCUCUGCUUGGGAAGAGAUGACAACGACAAUUGAUUCAUAGUAUGAAUCGAGCCCUCCAAGGACAUAAACGACCACUUCCGAUGUCUCAGUCUUGACUCUGACAGUUCGUAAAUCGUCAACUAGCCUUUUGAUUUUGGUUAGAUACUCAUCAAUUGGAGAGUCACCUUUCUUGAUUUGUUGCAAUUGCUGUCUGAUUUGCAAUAUCCGGGAUCCAGAAGUGCAUGCAUGCAUUUCUUGGAGUUGUUUCCAAGUUACGUCGGAAGUUUCAACGCCGGCAACCUACGUGAGGAUGUGUGACUGGAACGAUGAGAAGAUCCAUCCCAGUAAAAGCUGAUCUUGCUGAAUCUUCAGUGUAUCAUCAAGGAUGACUGAACCAUCUACAUAAGAUAAGAGGCCAUAUCCCUUCAAGAGCGUGCUGAACUACUUCCGCCAAGUGAAGAAAUUCGUUAUGGCGAGUUUCUAUGCUUGCAGGUACUUGAUUUUCACAAGUUUGGAAGAGCUACCGACGUUCAUCAUGGCGAUUUGCAGAAUAAGUACCCAAUCGUUACCUAACAAUCUGAUACCAUAUUACAAUCAAUGAGCUUGACUGAAUUCAUUGUAUUUCACACUCCUCAAUUAAUACAUGUUUCUAUAUAUCUAUUUAUAAUAGUAUUCAAUUAAAUAACUAAUUAAUUGAUAAUCCAGUUAUUAUUUUUUAAUACAGGGAACCUGGAUGCCGCCCAGGCCCCUAGACCCAAGAGGUAGUUCUAGAAGUACAUGCAUGAAUCUUAGGGGAUCAUGCAUCAUCUGUUUCCUUAUGUCUUGCGAGAAUUAUUCUUUAACUCCGCCUUUGGCAAAUUGCCAUUGCCGGUCCCCAGCCCGGAUCAAAGGAGGAGGGAAGGAUUAUUUAAGAUAACCAUUAUUUGGAUCAUUUCUUCUCAUUUUGUAUUUUCGUGGUUGGGAUCACAAGUGAACGCAAUCGAUCUUAACAAUUUACAAGCUAACCAUAAAGUUUUGAAGUAUUUGCUGAUCACACAAGUCUGAAGUAUAUAUUUAGAGUUAGGGUUAGUAGUCAACCGUGAAAAAGACUACAUAAUAUCUUUUAAAGAUGAUAUCUUUAAAAAAGAAUGUGACUCACAAUUGGAAAGGAAAAGACAACCCUCCUGAGACCCAAUUCUAACUAGAGCACUAAGAAGGAUAGCUAUAUAAGAGAAGGUCGAUAUAAUGGGAAACCACAAUAUCAAUCCCAUCACAUUUUUUUUCAUUUGUAUUUUAGGGCAUUGUCUUUCAUUAUCUUUAAUGAAAACUUUUAAUAUUUGCAAAAAAAAAAGCACACGAGACAUAGACGAUAUUUGAGUUUGUAAAAUAUCAAAACUUAGUGUGAAAUCACCGGAGUUGAGUGAGAUCACCGGACUUGAGUCAGAAUGGAAUGUGAUUUAUUCAUUGAUAUUGAUGAGUUUAUAUAGUAUUGAUUUACAACUAACUUAUAACUAACUAUCUAAAUAUCUUUGUUUUGACCCUCAGGCCCGACGACUAUACUCGUCAAGAGAUGUUCGAUUUAUAGAAGAGGACUUCAUGUUAAAUAAAAGUUUAUGGAAAGAGGUAAAUGAACAUUUUCCAGAUCCGGUAAAAGUGAGCUCCCCACCGAUUGUAAGUCAUCCGAAUAUAAUCAUUCAAUCAAUAUCCGGUCAUAUUGUGCAAUCAGGCAGCCAAGAUACUACUCAACCAUAAUUGGAAAUAACUAGUCCAAUUGAAUCAUCGGAUGAAUCAGAAGUAGUACCCGAAGAAGAAAGGCAGGAAGAAACAGAGAGCACUAACAACCAAGUUAUACAACCUAUGCUAACCAGAAGUGCGAAAGGAAUUUUCAAGUCAAAUCCUCGGUAUGCUCUAACGGUAGCAGCAAGUACCAUAGAUAACGAUAUGCUCUAAUGAUGCCGGAGUUGAGUGAGAAUGGAAUGCGAUUUAUUUAUUGGUAUUGAUGAGUUUAUACAGUAUCUAACUCAUAACUAACUAUCUAAAUAUCUAGUUAGUUAUCUAUCUUAACAUAAAAGAUUUUAAAUUUGAAUUGACAUACAUAAGAGUUCAUUCAAAUCAUUCAUACUUAUCACUAACUCUAAAUCCACAGGACUUCCUCACAUUGAUUUAUUUGGAUCAACCCAAACCUAAAGUUUUUGAGGAAAAAGAUUGAUAUAUGCAAAAUAAAAAUAUUUUAGGAAAUCCAUAUUAAAUCAACUUUCAACUAAUUUCUAUUUUAAGUUUGUUAACAAUAACCUUUAAAACUAUUGAAUUUUAUAUAAAAAAAGUCAUUUCCCAUAAAAAAAGCUAUCUAUUUUUAUGAACCUAUUGUUUGGUUUCUAUAUUUAAGAAUCCACCCCCUAUAUAUUUAUUCUCCUAGGCCAGAGAUUCAGAUAUCUGAAUUCACUAUCAUUUGAUUUGUUAUUGGUAUUUGUUUUUCAAUCACAUUUUUUAAAUUUGUUGCAGGAUAUGCUUAUUUCUUGUGUUGGAGAUCUUACAUGUUCAAGAGGAGGAAAAUUUUGAGAUUUGUGCGUACCAUCUGAACUAAUUACAUCGUCGUAGAAGAAACUAGAUGAUUGUAUUUUGAUCUCGAUUCAUUAUUUUGACGUGUAUGUAGGGUAGACAAUCUCGACCUUUGCCAUGUUGGGUGCGCUCGCAUGGCAGGUCACCUAAUAAAGAAGAAUCACUUUUUUGGGUUGGGAGAGGAGAUCGCAUGGGAAUGGGGAUGAUUUUACUCCCUUUUUGAUAUUCCCAGGGUCAUCCUCUCCAAGGUCCGACCUCUGCAAGGCCGGACUCUGUGUUCUCUUUUCUGUUUGUCUUCUUUCAUUAUCUAUUAUCCUCCCUCCCAUGCAACUUCCCUCACCGACAUCAUCGAUUAAAGAUAAUAACUCGUUCGUGCCCUCUUAAUCGUUAAAAUCAACGAUCAGCGAAAUCAUUUAUAAUCAUAAAAACGAGGUAUAGAUUGAAUUUAAAUCAAUUACGCUUCUACGACGAUUAAUCAAUUAUCGUAAAAUGAAUCAAAUGAUUUGGUUGUUGAUCAAAGUAAUUAACGUUCAUUUCGAAAGCCGGUUUAUGAUUUUAAUUUCGCUUCACAUAUCUUCAUUUUUGGAUGAUUCUGAUUAUAUGAUGGAUGAUAUUGUUCGCGAUCGCGAAACGAAACUCCGUGAUAAUAAAGAGGGCAUGUUGAAUAUAUCUGCUCGAUUAUCUCAAACGUCAAUAAAGGAAAAUCAAUUGCUAAAAGUUAAUCGCGAUUUUAUAUCUUCUCUUUGUAAGUAUGUUUUAAUUAGUUAAAUUUAUCAUUUUUCUAUAUUUAAACAUGAAAUAAUAUAAUUUAUCAAUUUUAUACACAUGAUUGAUAAGAAAAGAUAGAAGAUUCGAUCAUGGCUAAGGUAUUUAUAUUAAGGCAUUGAAAGAAGUUUCGUGAAAUGAAAAGAUCGAUGAAGAAAUGCAUACUUUCAGUUAAGCCUAUUUGAUCCAACUAAUGUUAUUAGGUCAAUGGCAACCUUGUUAUUUUAUCCAACUUUGAAGGUAUUUAUUAAGUUGAUAUAAAAUAACAUAAGUACGGUUGUGGAAUUGAAACACGAACACAUCAAGAGCAACUAUGGAAGCUUGGGCUAGAAUGCUCCAACCGGCAUCAAAUUAAUAUUUUGUUUAUUAUUGUGUUAUAAUUUAAAUUCAGUAAGAACUUGUGUUAAAAGGGGAAUGUAAUACUUAGGCUAAGGGUGGGUCGGAAUUCAACUAAAAAUAGAAUUCUGACUCACAAAAGCAUCGGAAUGAUGGAAUGACCUAACAAGUCACAUCCACCGGACCCCCUAUCUCAUAUGAGGUAAGAUUCCUUGUGUAAGUAUAAACGAUAUGAGGAAUCACUUACAAAGUAGUGGACCGAAAGGUGAUGGCAGGGUUUUCCCUAGGAAAAGAAAAAGAUGUCAGUAGCACACUAGGGUUUUUUCACCCAACCAUUGUCCAAGGCCCACUACGUAAGAACGAUAAGGCAUAGAUCAUUCUAGGAAAUAUUGAGUCGAUCAGUCCCCAAAGAUUGUUGAAGGCCUAAACGAUCGUAAGAUCACUUGGCUGGAUCAAUGCGGAGGGUGUGAGGUAGAUCGCAUGUAAUCACACCUCUUUUUUUGCUUUGAGAUCUAUAUAUUGCAGGAUGAUUUUAACUCAAAAAAAAGGAAUUGAAGCAUGAAGAAGGGAGGAGGAAAGAAGAAAGGAGAGAAAAAAAGAGUUUUAUAUUUAUAGAUAUCAAUGUUGAUUGAUCAUAAAACAUUGUAUUAUUAUUUUUAUUAGUUAAUUUGUCUGCGUAGUUAACAAAAGUGAAUUCGUCAACAAAAGUGAGAAGUGGAUGAAAAUCGAUCCUCUGUAUUUAGGAUUACCACCUCAUCAAUAGAUUAAGACCAAAUUCGAUUUCAAUGUUACAACCUCAAACCUCGAACCAGUAACCUUUAAUAGUUAAUGAUGAAAGUGUUUUUGAAAUACUUUCAAUAGGUCUGUCAAUAGAUAUCCGAAAUUCGUGUUCGAAUUCAAAAUCGAAUUUAUUUAGGUUUAAUGAAAUUCAAAUACUUAAAAUACUAUCUAAAGUUAAAUGAAUUCAAAUACUCCUAAACGCAUUCGCAUAAUUAUCCAAAUUUGAAUAAGUAUAUAAAUAUAUAAUAAUUUUUACAUUUUCUAAUAUAAUGUAAUAUAUAUUGUGCUGGAUUUAUAUGUUUAAAGUAUUACAGAAGUUUUUAUUAAAAAAUAAGUAACAUAUUAUUUUUAGUAAAUGUUAUUCGAACCGAAUCCGGAUAUCCGUAUUCGGAUAUUUUAAUCGAAUUCGGAUAUUGAAUUUAAAAUUCGAAUAAUAAUCGGACGAAUUCGGAUUAUCUGGAUACUAAACGAAUUCAGAUACAAGGGUAUCCGAACUUAAUUCGUUCGAAUGACAGACGUGGACACGGAGACGACAUGGUCAGACGGAGACUGGGGAAAAUCACCGGGGGAGUGACAUCGCUUGGGGGGGGGUGUUUGUUUGGGAGAAGAAUAGAGAGAUAUAUUGGAGUAACUAAUAAAGUUAGUUACUGAUAGUUAGAUGGUUAAUGGAAGUUGUUAUUGUAUUGAAACUAGUAUAAAUAGAACUGUAAUUAAUGAUACAAUGAAAGUAAUUCAAUCAAGGGUGAAGGUAGUACGUACCAUCACUCCACGUUUUGUGAUCUCGAGUUCUUAUUCCGUUCAAUAAGAUGUCAGUGAGAGAGAGUGAGUGAGAUAUUUUUAGGCGAGAGUGAUAUAAGAAUAUAACUAGAAUACAGGGCAAAUAAGCAAUUUACCAUAAGAAACAAGCUUAAGACGUAAAGAAAUAUAAAUAACCCAAAGGUUAUGACAAAACAGAAUAAACUGUUUUGUUAUAAACUAACAGGGGUUCUUUUAUAAAUGUUUCAAUAAACGUUAUUUGAACCUAAGCGUAAUUAAAAGAAACUAAAGGUUUUCGUAAUAUAACUGAGAUCUAUAAAUACAAGGAUCGAAUUGUAAAAAUUUCAAUUACCAGUUAUAAUUAAUUUAAGGACUGUUAUGCAAAUAACACAAAACUAAAUCAGGUCAAAUAGACCUGAUUGAUAUUACUAAUAAGUUUGUAUACUUGUGCAGAAUUGUUACAGCUAAUCGGGUUUGGAUCGCACUCGGACUCGGAUCAAGUUCCAGCACAAAUAAAUUAGAAUUAAGAAAAUUAGUUACAUUUUUAGCUGUUAACAGUUUUGUAAUAUUUGUAUAAAUAAACGUGAUUAAGAAUUAAUAAUCACUCAAUGUUUUUACAAGUUAAUCAAUAAAGAAAAGAGAUUAACUAAAGAGAAACAUUUUUCUUUUCACCCCCUUUCUUCUUUCUUUCUUAUUUCACGUCCGGUAGUUAAUUCCGGUUCUCCCCAAAAUACGUUGGGCGGAAAACCCUAACUCCGAUCAGCCUCUCCAGUGGUUGAAAAGCUUCCAGACUCCGGGAAGAUCAUACAUUGCAGCAGGCGACGCCUCCAGUGCAAAAUUUAAUAAGUGACAGUUGUCACUAAUCUAAUGUAUGGUUUUUUUUAGACAUAAUAUUACACUUUGUGUCACAUUAAGUCACAAAUCAGAUUUUUUUUCACUCAUUACUAAGAUAAAUGGUCCACAAUCAUCCAUCAUUCCAUCUCACUCUCAAUUUAUUUUCAAAAAAUGGAUGGCUCAAUUUCAGAGAGAUUUUUAGCGUUUUUUCAUAAGACUUAUAGGAAAUUUAUUCUAUAAUAAAUAAAAAAGAAACUAGGGUUCAUGAACCUUUAUAGUUUAUACUCCUUUUUCCGAACCCACGUAAACCUCCUAUAAUUAGAAAGUCCCUCCUCCAUAUUAGAUUUAGGGUUACCAAAUAUACAGACCUGCGACUCUAUUCGUUCAUCGUUCUCACCGUCGUUGAGAUCCUUCGUUGAUUCGUACGAUCGAGAUUCUUCCCCACACAGGUUAGUCUCGCUCUCUUGAUCUACUACCUUCAUCGUCUCUUUCUCAAUUUCUUCUUGCCACAGAUCUUCUCGUGUUGUUAUCUCCUACAGUUUCUUUCGAUCGGGUGUCCUCAGUUAUCGCGUGCGUGGAUGUCUAUCUGCAAUGUAACAAUAGCCUGUGAAGUUGAAAAUUAGUUGAAUGAGUUUUUUGUUUUAGAAGAACUCCAAGUUUCUCUAUUGGAAAUCAUUUUUACUUCAUUUGAAAACAAGAAGAGAUGAUGUUAUAUUCAUGUGAGUUGUUUCAGUAGGAAUAAUGAAUGGAUCUCAUGAUUAUGAUUUUAAAUAUGUUGUGAUUGGUUGUAACACAAGAUUCAUCUAAUAAUCAAACAAACUUUUACUAAGAUUUUUACAGAUUUUUUUACAUAGAUUCAUCUACACAUUCCAAAUCCAUACACCAUAUAUAACUACUACUACUGCCAAAGGAUUAUUGCUAGCUCCCUGUUGAAAAAGAAAUCGUUGUCAUAAAAUAUUACCACUAACGUUAGAAUCCGAAGCAGAGACCAGUUAGGUAGAUGAUGCGACUGGGGACGAUGCUUACAAUGGAUGACGAUGACUGCUAGAUGUUUGAUAAAUGUGUUUCUUGUUCACUUAGUAAUGUCAUAAACUGUUUUUUCUUUGAUUAUUCUGUUACUAAACAUUUAGAAUUAAUAUUCAGUGAUGUUUUGGGGCCUAAUCUCUCCACACCUCAUCACAAGGUUUUAGAUAUUAUGUGAACUUUUUUGAUGUAUUCAUCGAAUUCAUUUGCAUUUUUCCAAUUCAAUGUAAGUCAGAGGUUUUUGUAAAAUUCAAUGAUUUUAAAAUAAAAGUUGAAAAUCAAUUAGAUCUCAAAAUUAAGACCUUACAAACUGAUAAUGGUGGAGUAAUAUUUUCCAAACUGAUGAAGCACUGAAUCUUCUACCAGGGCUCGCGGUGGUGCGAGGUGAUGCCGGAGGCUCUGGAGUCCACAACGCGCGCUCUACGUCAAAUACCUGCAAGUAGAAACUAGGCGAUUCUAGUGAGAAUCGGCGAGUUUCUUAGUGAUGCUCUGGUGAGAGUGGAACUUGUGUUGUGCCUUUGAGUGUCCCCUUGGGACCCUUUUUAUAGGGUCUCGGAGGGCGCGAUCAAAGGCGGAUAUCGCGCCUAUUGCCAUAGAUGGGAGCAUUUAUGGCGUUGGCUGGCGGCGAGUAACGGUCGUAAGUCGGUGAUUCAGGUAUGGAAAUCGCCUAUUUAGGGCAAACUCGCCGAGUUUCCAGGGGCGAGAUGUGCAGUCUACCAUACUGCCGAUCUGGGCCCUAACUCGGCGAUUUGUCCCUAAAGUCGGCGACUUGGUAGUCCAAUCGUGACUUACGGGUUAACUCUGCGAUUUGGACGAUGAACUUGUUCCGCACCGUGGGAGCUCUCCGGGGGUCCGGCGUAAAGCGACGGAACCCUAGUCCUUGUUGAAAGGCGUUGCUGGGAGUGACUGCCGUAAUCAGGCAUGUCUCACCACAAACUUUCUUAAAUAUCAAAUUAAAUUUUUUCAAAAUAUUGAUAUUUCGAACUACUAAAGUAGCGACAUCUUGGGAUGAAAAAAUAUGAAUAUUUUCAAUUUUUCUCAAAAUUAUAUCUGCACACAACACAUCAUUAGAAAUUGAAGAAACUAUUUGGGCUCUGCCAAGCCCAAAUAUGAAGAUUUCGCAGGUCCUAUGUUGUUGUUGAAUAAGCGAUCAUAGGAGUGAAAGUCGGAGAGCACACACGCGAUCGAUAUUUGGGCUUGACAGAGCUAAGAUUAAACAACAAUUAAUUUAUUAAUAUGUAGAGAAAAUGCGAGAUGAUAAAAUACAGUGUAUAAUCAACGAGAGAGAGCAGAGUAAAAGUUAGGAUUCCAGAGGAACGAAGAUAUAUACUCACGAGAGCGGCAGCGAGAGUAGAAAAAAAACUGCCAGAACAUCUAACAUAUAAACCCUAGAAAACAAUUUAUACCUAAGGUUUUUUGACCUAAUCUGUGAUUAAGAUAAUCAUAGGGAUAUAAGAGCAAUUAAGUAUAAAAUAAAUUUUAAUAUAUCGGAUUGGGCAUAUUGGACCCUUAACAAUAUAACAUAUCAUUAUAAGAAAUUAAAGAUUUCAACGUAUUAAAAUUUUCAAUUGUUUGAUUACUCGAACAUUCGUAAUUUUAUUCGAAUGAUUUUCGUUUUUUCUCCUUCCAAAAACCGAGUUAAUUUUCUAAUCCUAUUUAAUUAGUAGUUAUUAAAAAGGUUAUAAUAGUUUUUUUAACUUUGAUUUUUUCUUUAAUUUUUCCAUCAUUAAUGUAUAUGUAUAAUUUUCUCUUUUUUCGUCAAAUCAAAAAAUUUGAAUAUUUUAAAUUAAAAAAAAUGUUAACAUCUCUUGAAAUAUCAUAAAUGCAUUCACAUACAUUUUUCGAAAAAAAUUAAAUAUAUAUGAUUUUUUAUCAAAAAAUGUAAACGAUUUCGUAUCAAAAAUUGUACACGAUUUCGUAUAAAAAAUGUACACGAUUUCGUAUCAAAAAAUGUACACGAUUUCGUAUCAAAAAAUGCACACGAUUUUAUAUAAUAAAAUGUCCAUGAUUUGUAUUAUAAAAUGUACGUGAUUUUGUAUUUAAUUAAAAAUGUAUACAAAAUCGGAUUUCAUGGGUGAAAAUAUUCACCCGAACCCAAACCUGACAUGUUCAGGUUAAAUCUAAUCCAUGCCAACCCCUAGUUUUGAUCCAUUUUUUUUGAAAAAAUGACUUGGCGGUGUGAGAAAAUAUUAACCAGUUCCAAAUUUUUCCGAGGGCGACCUUAACCAGUUCCUAAUUUUUCUCCUUAUAGAAUCAACUGUGGACAUAUAUAAAAUCAAAAUAAGAUGAACAUAUAUAAAAUAUAUAUAAAAAAGUCAUUUGCCAUACAAAAGUUAUCUAUUUUUAUGAACUUAUAUCUAUUUUUUCGUUGUGUGAUUUGUCACCAUAUAUUCCAUAGACAAUUUCCAUAUUUAAGAAUCCACCCACCAUAUUUAUUCUCCUAGGCCGGAGAUUUAACCAAAUUCGCUAUCCUUUUACUUAUUCUCUGCAAACCUAACGACGUUAAAGUUUGAUUUGUUGUUGGCGUUUGAUUUUACAAUCACAUUUUUUUCUCUAUUUUUUUAAUUUUUUGCAGGACAUGUUCAUUUCUUAUGAUGAAGAUCUUACAUGUUCAAGAGGAGGAGAUCGAAUUUCGAGAUUUGUACGUACCUGUUGAUCUAAUUAAACCCUCAAAUUUCAUUGUCCCCGAAGAAACUAGAAAUGCGGAAUCUAGAAGAUUGUAUUUUGAUCUCGAUUCAUUAUUUUGACGUGUAUGUAGGGUAGACAAUCUCGACCUUUGCCAUGUUGGGUGCGCUCGCAUGGCAGGUCACCUAAUAAAGAGGAAUCACUUUUUUUGGGUUGGGAGAGGAGAUCGCAUGGGAAUUGGGAUGAUAUAUUAAUUUCCCCCUAUUUUGAUAUUCCCAGGAUCAUCCUCUCCAAGAUCGGGCUUUGUGUUCUGAUCUUUUCUCCAUGGAUUGUUUAUGUUCUUUCAUUAUCCAUUAUCCUUCCUCCCAUGCAACUCCCUCACCGACAUCAUCGAUCAAAGAUAAUAACCUGAACCCUAACCCAUAUCCUACGAACGAGGUAUACAUUGAAUUUAAACUAAUUACGUUCUAUGAAUAAUCCAAUCGUACAAAAUGAAACGAAUGACUUCCUAAUCUUCAAUUGAUCACCGUUCAAAUCGUCAAUCAAGGUAUAACGCUAAUAUGCUUUCCAUUUCGCUUCGAAUAUAUAUAGCUUCAUUUCUUAUAAUUCAAAAAAUAAUAUUGUGAGAUUUAUAUUUAAAGAUAAUUGUGUUACUCCAUAAGAAUAUUUAUUUAUUUAAUUAUUAGAAUUGUCUCUAGAUGAAUAAUUACUGUUUUUUUGGGAGAAAUAAAGAUAUUGUAUAUCAUAUAUAUAUAUAUAAUUAUAUAUAUAUACAUAGGGUCAGAUUCAGAUGAGAUAAGGGUUCAUGAGAUAUUAUGUGAUCAUGACCCCUCAAGUAAACAUUUUGAUUCACAGUUUGAUGUAAAUCUGAAGGCUGACAUGACAAAAUUUCAUGGACUAUUAUCUCAUCGAUCUAAUUUUUACCCCAUGCAUAUUUGAUGGAUGAUAUUGCUCGCGAUCGGGAAACAAAACUCUGGGGUGAUGAUAAAAAGGCCACGGGUAUGUUACAUUCGAAGGUGUAAAUGAAAAUAACUACUAUGGACUUCUGACUUAGGUAUAUACUUAUCUCCAAACAAUGUGAUUGAAAAAUUGACAAAGGAAUGCAAAAUAGAACAUUUAAUUUAAAAUAUCUUAAUUAACAUUAUUUUUGUAGAAUAAAGAAGAUGGUAAUCGAUAAAGUUUGAUUAUUGCAAGGUUUGCAAGGCUACCGAUAGUUCGACUAUAAUUAAAGGCCGUUGGUAUUGAAAUCAACCAUCCCAUACAUUUCUUGUACUUGGAGCAAGAGAUUGUACAUUAAUCAAUCCAAAAAAUUUGAAACCCUAAAGUGGCUAAACUGACGACUUUGCCUGACCCCAAGAGAUCGACGACAAGUAAUGUAAAAUUAGCCACGGAUUUAAUUAAAGGGUUUUGAAAAUUAGUUCUGGACACAAGUCUUAUUUCUUGUUGUGAUGGCAAAAAAUAUAUAAGAAAAAUUAGGGUUUUAAAAAAUUCUUGUUU